ensembl:lncRNA
GUGCGUGUGCCUGCUUCCAGCAGGGAAACACGAGAUAUCGGAUCAGAUAUCCCACAGCCCGAGGUGUAAGCCAGCCCAAGGAAUUUCUGCCAUUAGCUGACCCCGCUCAGCGUCGGAGGGCAGCUGAGGGCGGCUGCUGGGUGCCCAGCGGCCGUAAGACGCUCCGUCCCUGCGCUGCCCGGGCUCAGCCGCCACGCUGCCGCGCAGAGCUGGCACAGCCGGCACCGAGCCCAGCGCCGCCGGGAGGGUCUGGACACCACUCUCCAGCCGCGGCCAUCCCUCCCACAGGGCUGGCUGGGCUGCCCCAUCUCUGCAGCAAGCAGAGGCACUGAGGGCAAAUGGAGAUGUCGCUGCUGGAUUUAGGCAGAUAGAGAAGCUGAGCUGAUGUUCUCCACUACGCCCUCAAUGAGAUGGAGCGGGAGGUACAUGCCCACCCUGAUGCCUUCGGGACGAGAGGUAGAGGAGCUCAGCCACCACCCAAGGAUGGCCUCUUCUUCACACGUGCAGGAAACAAAGUCAGGGGAGGCCAUGGGCACACGGAAAGGAUAAAUUCAAAACCUGACGUCCUGCAGAUCAAGUCACAGCAGAAGCAGCACAUGGGGACACCUGCAUGGCAGCCAGGACUCUUAUCCCACUGCCUUCUGAGAAAGCCUCCAAAUUUCUCCUUAUCCCAUAACUGACAGUGGCAGUGCAGUACACUGGAUUUUGCCAUAACAGCUCUAAGUCCAUUUUCUCAUACAAUACAUGGCAACAAGUGCUGGUUUGCGAUACUAUCUUUUUAAAUAGCUUUUCCAAGUUGUGCCCAUCCUUUCUACCAUUAUUAAAGUUUUUGGCUGUUCCAGGAGAAGGUUCCUAUUGUUAGAAAAAGCACAUAACUGUGCCAUGCUGCCUUUAUGACAUUGGUCCCAGCUCCUUCACUUCUCUGGCCGCAGGCAUGAACAACAGGCUAUGAUUUUUCUUCAGCUCUUUCUGCCAUGUGUUUGUCCGGAUAAACCUUCCUUUGGUCCUUUCCCCCAUUCAAACUGAAAUGCCUCCCCACAGAGCUGCUGAAACAAGUUUUCUGGAAGUGUUGACUUUCAGCAGCUCUAAAUUUAACUCAUGAGUAAGGCAUGAAUCAUAUGUUCAGAACAUAUUUAGGAAAACUGGGGGAAACCUGUCUUGGGAAGUGUUCCUUUCCUUCGUCUAACCGCUGCAACAUACCCAAAGUUGGUUUGAAUCCCUCCGUGCCUUGAAGCUGUGUCUUCCUGGGCACCAGCAGAGGUUGCUGUGGUUUCGUCGGGGGGGAUGGUUAGGUGUAGCACAAAGAGCUGUGCAUGGCUCUUGUUCCUGGUGUGUCAGCAGAACACAGUGACCCCAGCCGCAGCUUGUCUGUGGUCCUGCUCAACCCAAGACUAAGGAAGUCCCCAUGCAGAGGCAGAGGAAAGACCUGGCGCAGACAAUCCAUUCACCAUGUAUCACCACAAGUAUCCAGCUUUGCUGAGACUGGGGUGGCAGAAUUAAAGAAGAAUAACCGAGAUCAGGAUCACUCAUGGCUUCUCAGCCAUAUCCCUGACAAGCUCUAAUAAUAGACCAAACACUUCUGAAGUGAUGAUGCAUUGAUGACCUUCAGAACCUUCCUGAUGAGCUCUUUGGAGGCCAAGAGGACCUCUGUCCCUCUCAAAUUCAGUGUUUCUCAAUGCUCACUCCUUAGCUGGGGCAGUUCAUUUAGGUUUGGUGCUUUCCAACAUGAAUUCCAGAGGAAGAUCAGAGAAGUAAAAUGAAAGGGUAAAGGAAGCUUUAUUAUUAAGAGGUUAGAGUGGUGAAGUGAUGGAGGUAAAGCAAGCACAGGAGCAGACAAAACGCUUGCAUCGAUGACCAUGUUUGCGUUGGCCGUUCUGCAUCAGAGACUGCAGAACUUGCAGCCAUGUCCAUUAAGAUAAUCAUUGGAUACACUGGACAUUGUUAUUAGACAUUAGACAUUUAGUUUUGCAGAUUGAAAAAGGUGAUACCCUUAUGUCAUUUGGUAGCAGCCUUUACAACAUUCAUUUCAUAUACAAGAAAUGUUGCCCAUGACUGAUCACCGUAUCUCUUUAGUUACGACCUCUUAAAGGCCACCAUGUCCUUAGAGGCACAUGAGCUCCUUUUCCUUAGCUUACAUUACUCAGCUACUUAGGUUUUUAUGGAGUCUGAAUUUACCUUAAAAUUUCUUCCAAAAUUUAAAAAUUCGUUAUUCCAUUAACACAAGCAGCUUUGCUCAAAGUGCAAUUCUGUCUACCUUUGGCAUCUUCUUUUCUAAAAAUACACUGAAAACUUGCAGAUAUUGGAGGUAAAAGUUAUAUAAAUUAAUUCAGGACUGGAAGAGCAGCACAGGGAAAGAUUCAGGAGUUUGAUUUGCACACUUAGCAAAGCAAAGAGUUUUGCUGUGGCUCCUUUAGGCAAUGAAGAUGCUCAGUCCUGGAGACCCUUUUAUGCUCAAAAUAAAAGCACAAAAAAGACACA